rnacentral:rRNA from 1 species
GGCUCAGAUUGAACGCUGGCGGCAGGCUUAACACAUGCAAGUCGAGCGGGGAAAUGUGGCUUGCUACAUUACCUAGCGGCGGACGGGUGAGUAAUGCUUAGGAAUCUGCCUAUUAGUGGGGGACAACAUUUCGAAAGGAAUGCUAAUACCGCAUACGCCCUACGGGGGAAAGCAGGGGAUCUUCGGACCUUGCGCUAAUAGAUGAGCCUAAGUCGGAUUAGCUAGUUGGUGGGGUAAAGGCCUACCAAGGCGACGAUCUGUAGCGGGUCUGAGAGGAUGAUCCGCCACACUGGGACUGAGACACGGCCCAGACUCCUACGGGAGGCAGCAGUGGGGAAUAUUGGACAAUGGGGGGAACCCUGAUCCAGCCAUGCCGCGUGUGUGAAGAAGGCCUUUUGGUUGUAAAGCACUUUAAGCGAGGAGGAGGCUACCUAGAUUAAUACUCUGGGAUAGUGGACGUUACUCGCAGAAUAAGCACCGGCUAACUCUGUGCCAGCAGCCGCGGUAAUACAGAGGGUGCAAGCGUUAAUCGGAUUUACUGGGCGUAAAGCGUGCGUAGGUGGCCAAUUAAGUCAAAUGUGAAAUCCCCGAGCUUAACUUGGGAAUUGCAUUCGAUACUGGUUGGCUAGAGUAUGGGAGAGGAUGGUAGAAUUCCAGGUGUAGCGGUGAAAUGCGUAGAGAUCUGGAGGAAUACCGAUGGCGAAGGCAGCCAUCUGGCCUAAUACUGACACUGAGGUACGAAAGCAUGGGGAGCAAACAGGAUUAGAUACCCUGGUAGUCCAUGCCGUAAACGAUGCCUACUAGCCGUUGGGGUCUUUGAGACUUUAGUGGCGCAGCUAACGCGAUAAGUAGACCGCCUGGGGAGUACGGUCGCAAGACUAAAACUCAAAGGAA